UACGAGGGGGGCAAGCGUUGUUCGGAAUUAUUGGGCGUAAAGGGUGCGUAGGUGGUUCGGCAAGUCUUGUGUGAAAUCUUCGGGCUCAACCUGGGAACUGCAUUCAAAACUGACUGACUAGAGUAUGGUAGAGGGUGGUGGAAUUUCCUGUGUAGCGGUGAAAUGCGUAGAUAUAGGAAGGAACACCAGUGGCGAAGGCGACCACCUGGACUAAUACUGACACUGAGGUGCGAAAGCGUGGGGAGCAAACAGG
rnacentral:rRNA from 1 species